GGCAUUACACAGCCCUGGCAUUGAUCAUAACACCCGUCCCAGAGCAUGAAACCCCUGGAAACCAGCAUGGAUCCCAGAGCAUGUAACCCCUGGCAACCAGCAUGACACCCAGCGCAUGAAACCCUUGGCAACGAGGAUGUAAUUUAAAAGUCUAAGUGGAAUCCAUUAACUGAUUCUGGAUUAUACAGAGAAGCUGCCCCCCACCGAGAAUUUAAAAAAAAAAAAAUGUGUUCAUGUAUUGUUUUAUAUAGUGUGUGUUCACAUUACAUAAAAAUAGUUUCUGAACUGG